rnacentral:rRNA from 1 species
UACAGAGGUCUCAAGCGUUGUUCGGAUUCAUUGGGCGUAAAGGGCGCGUAGGCGGUUUGUUAAGUCGGCUGUGAAAGCCCGGGGCUCAACCCCGGAGGGUCAGCCGAUACUGGCAGACUAGAGUACGGAAGAGGUAGCUGGAAUUCCCGGUGUAGCGGUGAAAUGCGUAGAUAUCUGGAGGAAUACCGGUGGCGAAGGCGGCAUCCUGGACCGGCAUUGACGCUGAACAGCGAAAGCUAGGGGAGCAAACGGG